rnacentral:rRNA from 1 species
UUUGAUCCUGGCUCAGGAUGAACGCUAGCGGCAGGCCUAAUACAUGCAAGUCGAGGGGUAGAAGAGGCUUGCUUCUUUGAGACCGGCGCACGGGUGCGUAACGCGUAUGCAACCUACCUUCAUCUGGGGGAUAGCCCGGAGAAAUCCGGAUUAAUACCGCAUAAAAUCACAGGAUGGCAUUAUCCAAUGAUCAAACAUUUAUGGGAUGGAGAUGGGCAUGCGUGUCAUUAGCUAGUUGGCGGGGUAACGGCCCACCAAGGCGACGAUGACUAGGGGAUCUGAGAGGAUGGCCCCCCACACUGGUACUGAGACACGGACCAGACUCCUACGGGAGGCAGCAGUAAGGAAUAUUGGUCAAUGGAGGCAACUCUGAACCAGCCAUGCCGCGUGCAGGAAGACUGCCCUAUGGGUUGUAAACUGCUUUUAUUCGGGAAUAAACCUUAUUACGUGUAAUAAGCUGAAUGUACCGAAGGAAUAAGGAUCGGCUAACUCCGUG